UGCCUGUUGGAUCAGGGUUCAUGCCCUUGUU
rnacentral:piRNA from 1 species